GAUGAACGCUGGCGGCGUGCUUAACACAUGCGAGUCGAACGAAGCAUUUGCGACAGAUUUUUUCGGAAUGAAGUUGCUUAUGACUGAGUGGCGGACGGGUGAGUAACGCGUGGGUAACCUGCCUUGUACUGGGGGAUAGCAGCUGGAAACGGCUGGUAAUACCGCAUAAGCGCACAAUGUUGCAUGACAUGGUGGGAAAAACUCCGGUGGUAUAAGAUGGACCCGCGUCUGAUUAGCUAGUUGGUGAGAUAACAGCCCACCAAGGCGACGAUCAGUAGCCGACCUGAGAGGGUGACCGGCCACAUUGGGACUGGGACACGGCCCAGACUCCUACGGGAGGCAGCAGUGGGGAAUAUUGCACAAUGGAGGAAACUCUGAUGCAGCGACGCCGCGUGAGUGAAGAAGUAAUUCGUUAUGUAAAGCUCUAUCAGCAGGGAAGAUAGUGACGGUACCUGACUAAGAAGCUCCGGCUAAAUACGUG
rnacentral:rRNA from 1 species